rfam:Cavia porcellus supercont2_26 genomic scaffold, whole genome shotgun sequence.
GAAAUACUGUAAAGUUGAUUUGCCUAUAACAUCUGUCAUUUCAUUGAUUGACAGGACUGAUUUGUUUGAUAUGGCUGGUUUGGCAGGUGUUCCCUUCCUUCCUCACCACUCCACAUACAUCCAUCUUGAAGCAGCACACUUAGUUGUUAAGAGAAGAAGAGAAACCAUGUAUCUGUUCAAGGGUACAGAGCAGCUGUGUCCCUCUACUAGAAGCUCUGUGGUAAAAUUCUCAUCAAUAAAACUGCCUGUGCUACCUUUGCAACUUUUUUGAAUAUAGUAGUUACU